GGAUAUAAUUUUUUUUCAUUAGUUUUCAUGGUCAAAAUGAGAGAUCAGGUUUUUGAUCUUAAAAUAAAUCAAUAUUAAAUUUUUAUAGAGCGUUAAAGUUUUAGAAGCCAGGGGGUGGGACUACUUGAUUGACAGUCCGGUCUGGAAUGAUUGACAGGUCCUAUGGAGGAGGCAGCAGAGACUCUGCUCUCCUCGUUUGGAUUAAUUCUGAUAUAAUAACUGUUGGUUUAUUUAUCGGUGCAGCAGCAGAACAUUUUCCACAGACAGUUUUCCUGCCCGUUGGCUUGUUUUAACCAGUUUUCUACCUUCGGCUGAUUGUACCAGCAGACACUGAAAGGACUCUGAUAGUUCGAGUGAAAGUAGCAGUUCCUCCUGAAGGUCAGAGAUUGCAGCAUCUGAGGGCCUCUUCAAAAGAAGACGUAGUUGAUGAAGGCGUUCUGGAGCAGGACCAGAAAGACCACGACCAAGCAGCCUUGAGAUCUUAGACAGCGUCUCCCUCAGACCAAAGAACUACAGACUCUUCACAACCUGCUCAAACUCUUGGUACAGGACCUCACCACACGGGUCAAGAAGGUUUCCAUCUCAUUUCUACUCUGAAGCUCACCUUCUCCUGCUCAAACUGCUGACAAAUGUUUCUGCUGCUCUAAAGUCUGGUCUACAGAACUUCCUAAAAACUCUCAAAGUCUCUUCUGCUGCAGGUUGCUUUGUAGAACUGUUCCAGAAAACCUCACUAAACCACAUGGAGGAGCCUCAAGAUAGUCGUCCAAAUGAAACCAUACAAAAACCAAACUAGCACAACCCAAACACUAAAGUCUCCUGCAGCCUACCAGAGAACCUCUGAGAACAGAGAAUCAGGACAGGAACUCUUACCUUCUGGACAACCAACGCUGGUUCACAAACAAGAAUACAGAAUGUGUCUGACCAAAAACCUCUGAAGCCUCACUACAGCCAAGAUAAAGACACAACUCAGCUGCACCAAAUCCACUAAUCACUGCACACAUUAGCACCAUGUGCUAACUGUGGCUGAAGAACCACAUUUACCAAGACAACUAUCCAGUACAAAGCCCUAAAACACACCAAGAAACACAUUAAAGAUGAUUUUACUGCUGGAAGCUGCAAGCCAACGCCUAAAGAACAAACUAAAGCAAUGGAACCAAACCCAGUUCACUGGUGAAGAGAAACAGGGGAAAUGUUUGUCUGCAGCUAAAUAAAGCAGGAAGACACUGAGCUGCUCAGGUGUUCCUGAUAACACCAAGCUGCUCAGGUGUUCCUGAUAACACCAAGCAGCCACCUGGACAGCCAAUAGGAACACAGUUUACUGGAAGUCCAGAGGGCGG
ensembl:lncRNA